ensembl:lncRNA
CGGGGGGCCGGGCUGGCCCGGGCGCCAGCCCUCCCCGUGGACAGGCGGCGCGGCCCCGGCGCCAUGUUGCGGGAGGCCCGCCUGGCGGGCCGGCUCGGGGGAUAGAGGCCGCAUUGUUCCCAGCAGGGGGGGCAGGCGGCAGCCAGCACCCCGGCCAGGCUCCCCGGGGGCCGCCCAGAGCAAGCCCCCUCUAGCCAAUGCCCCCGGAGCCGUGCCACCGCCCCGAAACCCAGCCCUAGGUCCCAGCAGCCACCAAGCCCCAGGCAGGCCACGCAGCCUCUCCCAGCCUCAGUUUCCCCAUUGGUACCCGGGCUGGGGUCUCAGCUCCGGCCACUCGGGGCUGCCGUGAUGACACAGUGAGGGACGCUCAGCCUGGCCACGAUGAGGGCCCAUCACCACACCCCACCCAGACUGCCACAAACCCACGGGUCUCACCCGCGCAAAUCCCGCACAGAGAGGAGCGGCCACCCAAGCCGGGUCUGUGGGCCUGAGGCUCUAACAGGGGCGCUUCCACCUGGAGAUUGAUUAGACCCAGCGGGCCUCUUCUGCAGGCACCAGGCUGUGGCCGCGUGGCCAGCCAGUCCGCCCGGGGUCUCUCCUUUGGACCUUUAUGUGGCCCAGAACUGAGGCGAUGACCACCCGGCUGUCCCCCUGCAGGGUGGGCCAGCAGGCUGUGAGUGUGGGCAGGGUCCCCGGGCAAGCAGAGCCAGCUCUGGGGGCAGAAGGGACGGCGUGCAGGGACCGAGGCCGGGCCGCCGCGGCCGGAGUUUGCUCAGGGGCCCCGGGGCGUCUGCCCUGGCUUCCAGGCCUUCCCGCGGAUGGAGCUCCCACUGCACCCCGGCUGCCUGGAGUGCGUUUUGUUUCAACACCGCUUUAUGGUUGCACGAGAUGGCCGUGCCCAGGGCACAGGCACAAGAGGGGGAGCGGGAGGGAAGCGGCAGGAGGAGCCCGCUAGUCCUCGGGCUCCGGGCUCACGCACACAGCCACGUGACCAGCUCACCAGCUGAUGCCAGAGACAAAGCAGUUCGGAGAACAUCCAUCCGGCAGGAACCCUAGGCCAGGCCUGUCCAGCCGAGGAGGGUGUUGGGCCUACGUGUGGCUUCGCCAAUACGCCAGACUCUGAUAAGCUGCCGGCAGAUUCCAAGUUCAUCGGACAACGCGAUCUGGGGAGGAGCAAGGGACGCUGGAGAAUCACAAAUACUGUCCAAGACUGGCUCUUGGUGGCUUUCCUUUCACCCCCACCCCCGUGAGGACCCUUCUUCCUCCAGUCCGCUUCCGUCCUGCGACCCACCCCCCAGCAGACAACGGCCAGCCAGGCUUGGCCCCAGCGAGGCUGCAUCUAGCCCACGGUCCAAAGCCUGGCUGCCUUUCUGCUAUGUGCCAACAGGCCCCUGCAAGCGGCCUUUCAGAAGAAAUCACAGAGGGGGAGAAAAUGAACUUGUGAAAGUUUAAACGCCAAUCAGUAAAGAAAGCCAGACAUUCCCACUGAAAUUCCCCAAGAAUCACAGGUCAAGGAACUCUUUUUUUUCUUUUUUUUUCUUUUUCUGUACAUCUUGUCCCUG